rnacentral:rRNA from 1 species
GUGUCAGCCGCCGCGGUAAUACGAAGGUGGCAAGCGUUACUCGGAAUUACUAGGCGUAAAGGGCAGGUAGGUGGUCUGAUAAGUCUGUUGUGUAAGCUCCCGGCUUAACUGGGAGAGGUCAACAGAUACUGUCAGGCUUGAGUAUGGGAGAGGGUACUGGAAUUCCCGGUGUAGCGGUGAAAUGCGCAGAUAUCGGGAGGAACACCAAUGGCGAAAGCAGGUGCCUGGACCAUUACUGACACUCAGCUGCGAAAGCUAGGGGAGCAAACAGGAUUAGAUACCCUUGUAGUCC